rnacentral:rRNA from 1 species
AUUGAACGCUGGCGGAAUGCUCUACACAUGCAAGUCGAACGGCAGCACGGACUUCGGUCUGGUGGCGAGUGGCGAACGGGUGAGUAACAUAUCGGAACGUAUCCAAUAAUGGGGGAUAACGAGUCGAAAGAUUCGCUAAUACCGCAUACGCCCUACGGGGGAAAGCUGGGGACCUUCGGGCCUGGCGUUAAUGGAGCGGCCGAUAUCUGAUUAGCUAGUUGGUGAGGUAAAGGCUCACCAAGGCGACGAUCAGUAGCUGGUCUGAGAGGACGACCAGCCACACUGGAACUGAGACACGGUCCAGACUCCUACGGGAGGCAGCAGUGGGGAAUUUUGGACAAUGGGCGCAAGCCUGAUCCAGCCAUUCCGCGUGAGUGAAGAAGACCUUCGGGUUGUAAAGCUCUUUCGCAAGGGAAGAAAACUUAGCCACUAACAUUGGUUGAGGUUGACGGUACCUUGAUAAGAAGCACCGGCUAACUACGUGCCAGCAGCCGCAGUAA